UACGUAGGGUGCAAGCGUUGUCCGGAAUCAUUGGGCGUAAAGAGCGUGUAGGCGGCUCGAUAAGUCUGCUGUGAAAGUCCAGGGCUCAACCCUGGAAGGCCGGUGGAAACUGUCGGGCUAGAGUCCGGAAGAGGCGAGUGGAAUUCCCGGUGUAGCGGUGAAAUGCGCAGAUAUCGGGAGGAACACCAAUGGCGAAGGCAGCUCGCUGGGACGGUACUGACGCUGAGACGCGAAAGCGUGGGGAGCAAACAGGG
rnacentral:rRNA from 1 species